rnacentral:rRNA from 1 species
CGUAGGGGGCGAGCGUUUAUCCGGAUUCAUUGGGCGUAAAGCGCUCGUAGGCGGCCUGCUAGGUCGGGAGUCAAAUGCGGGGGCCCAACCCCCGGCCGCUCCCGAUACCGGCGGGCUUGAGUUUGGUAGGGGAAGGCGGAAUUCCCGGUGUAGCGGUGGAAUGCGCAGAUAUCGGGAAGAACACCGGUGGCGAAGGCGGCCUUCUGGGCCACAACUGACGCUGAGGAGCGAAAGCUGGGGGAGCGA